rnacentral:rRNA from 1 species
GAUGAACGCUGGCGGCGUGCCUAAUACAUGCAAGUCGAGCGAACAGACGAGGAGCUUGCUCCUCUGACGUUAGCGGCGGACGGGUGAGUAACACGUGGAUAACCUACCUAUAAGACUGGGAUAACUUCGGGAAACCGGAGCUAAUACCGGAUAAUAUAUUGAACCGCAUGGUUCAAUAGUGAAAUACGGUUUUGCUGUCACUUAUAGAUGGAUCCGCGCCGCAUUAGCUAGUUGGUAAGGUAACGGCUUACCAAGGCAACGAUGCGUAGCCGACCUGAGAGGGUGAUCGGCCACACUGGAACUGAGACACGGUCCAGACUCCUACGGGAGGCAGCAGUAGGGAAUCUUCCGCAAUGGGCGAAAGCUUGACGGAGCAACGCCGCGUGAGUGAUGAAGGUCUUCGGAUCGUAAAACUCUGUUAUUAGGGAAGAACAAAUGUGUAAGUAACUAUGCACGUCUUGACGGUACCGAAUCAGAAAGCCACGGCUAACUACGUG